rnacentral:rRNA from 1 species
CCUACGGGUGGCAGCAGUGGGGAAUAUUGCACAAUGGGGGAAACCCUGAUGCAGCAACGCCGCGUGAGUGAUGACGGCCUUCUGAUUGUAAAGCUCUUUCUUCAGGGACGAUAAUGACGGUACCUGAGGAUGAAGCCACGGCUCACUACGUUCCAGCAGCCGCGGUAAUACGUAGGUGGCGAGCGUUGUCCGGAUUUACUGGGCGUAAAGGGAGCGUAGGCGGAUUUUUAAGUGAGAUGUGAAAUACUCGGGCUCAACUUGAGUGCUGCAUUUCAAACUGUGAGGCUAGAGAGUAGGUGCGGAGAACGGAAUGCAUAGUGUAGCGGUGAAAUGCGUAGAGAUUAGGCAGAACACCAGUGGCGAAGGCGAUUCUCUGGACUGUAACUGACGCUGAGGCUCGAAAGCGUGGGGAGCAAACAGGAUUAGAUACCCCUGUAGUC